rnacentral:misc_RNA from 1 species
AAGUCGUAACAAGGUUUCCGUAGGUGAACCUGCGGAAGGAUCAUUAACACGUUGUAUCAACGUAUCAACCAACCUCGACGAACUUGUUUCAUGUACUGCACAUGGUGUUUUACUUGUUUGGUUUCAUCUGAAACCAUGAAGGCCUUUGAGGCGAAAUAGUACGGGAUUAAUCUUACCUUUCGGGGUUCGUGUUCCUGUUUAGAGUAGUCUCUCUGUGCUUAGAGUCACUUGUGCACCUCCCUCCAUCUGCGGGUGGAGUGGAGUAUUUUCCAACCCGUUUUUACUAUGCGAAAGCUUCUUUUCGGAGAGGUUUGAUCUUACGGUCUUCAUUUGCAUAGCAAAGACACUUUCUUAUUUAUUCAUUUCUAUUAAAAGGCGAAAGUCUUUUAAUAACAAACUCUGAACAACUCUGAGCAACGGAUGUCUUGGUUCCC